GCAUUGGUAGUUCAGUGGUGGAAUUCUUACCUUCCACGUGGGAGACCUGGGUUUGAUUCCUGACCGGUGCA
rnacentral:tRNA from 1 species